rnacentral:rRNA from 1 species
UACGUAGGGCGCAAGCGUUGUCCGGAAUUAUUGGGCGUAAAGAGCUCGUAGGCGGCUUGUCACGUCGGAUGUGAAAGCCCGAGGCUUAACCUCGGGUCUGCAUUCGAUACGGGCUAGCUAGAGUGUGGUAGGGGGAGAUCGGAAUUCCUGGUGUACGCGGUGAAAUGCGCAGAUAUCAGGAGGAACACCGGUGGCGAAGGCGGGUCUCUGGGCCGAUACUGACGUGAGGAGCGAAAGCGUGGGGAGCAAACAGG